CCCGAUGCAGCCAGUGUGAGGGAUAACAAUGGAAAAAGUCCCCUGUAUGAUGCAUGUACGCGGAAUCGAUCGUAUGAUGUAUUGAGAGCGUUGAUAUUGGCGGAUAUUCAGCAGAGUCAAGUUCGGAGUCGAUGGGGGUAUACUCCUG
rnacentral:ribozyme from 1 species